rnacentral:rRNA from 1 species
UACGUAGGGUGCAAGCGUUGUCCGGAAUUAUUGGGCGUAAAGGGUGCGUAGGCGGCCUGACAAGUCUGAUGUGAAAUCCCUGGGCUCAACCCCGGGAGGCGGGCGGAUACUGUCGGGCUAGAGUCCGGAAGGGGCGAGUGGAAUUCCUGGUGUAGCGGUGAAAUGCGCAGAUAUCAGGAGCAACACCGAUGGCGAAGGCAGCUCGCUGGGACGGUACUGACGCUGAGACGCGAAAGCGUGGGGAGCAAACAGG